rnacentral:tRNA from 1 species
GAUGGCUGAAUAAGUCGGUGGAUUGUAGCUCCAUAUAUAAAGGUUUAAGUCCUUUUCUUAUCA